GAUUGAACACUGGUGGCAGGCCUAACACAUGCAAGUCGAGCGGCAUCGAGUGAGCGCAGUUUACUGAGUUCAUGUCGGCGAGCGGCGGACGGGUGAGUAAAGUCUGGGAAUCUGGCCGAAGGAGGGGGAUAACUGCUGGAAACGGCAGCUAAUACCGCAUGAAGUCGCGAGACCAAAGUGGGGGACCUUCGGGCCUCACGCCUUCGGAUGAGCCCAGAUGAGAUUAGCUGGUAGGUAAGGUAAAGGCUUACCUAGGCGACGAUCUCUAGCGGGUCUGAGAGGAUAGCCCGCCACACUGGAACUGAGACACGGUCCAGACUCCUACGGGAGGCAGCAGUGGGGAAUAUUGCACAAUGGGCGAAAGCCUGAUGCAGCCAUGCCACGUGUGUGAAGAAGGCCUCGG
rnacentral:rRNA from 1 species